rnacentral:rRNA from 1 species
ACGGGAGGCAGCAGUGGGGAAUAUUGGGCAAUGGGCGAAAGCCUGACCCAGCAACGCCGCGUGAAGGAUGACGGUCUUCGGAUUGUAAACUUCUUUAAUUGGGGAAGAAUAAAUGACCUACCCAAAGAAUAAGUCACGGCUAACUACGUGCCAGCAGCCGCGGUAAUACGUAGGUGACAAGCGUUAUCCGGAUUUACUGGGCGUAAAGGGCGUGUAGGCGGUUUGGCAAGUCAGAAGUGAAAUUCCUGAGCUCAACUCGGGCGCUGCUUCUGAAACUGCUAGACUUGAGUGCUGGAGGGGAUAGCGGAAUUCCUAGUGGAGCGGUAAAAUGCGCAGAUAUUAGGAAGAACACCGGUGGCGAAGGCGGCUAUCUGGACAGUAACUGACGCUGAGGCGCGAAAGCGUGGGGAGCAAACAGGAUUAGAUACCCUGGUA